rnacentral:lncRNA from 1 species
AGAAAAUGAAUUGUACCUACGAUCACAGAGGCUGAUCCUCGGUCAGGUCACUGCUCCUUUUCAAUUUUCUGUCUUUCUAAUCAGAAUAGCAUUGGGGCUCAUAAAUCUCUGUUUGCGAUGACAUAAUUGGUUACCAGAGGAAUGCGGUGGUACUGCCAGCUGAAAGUUACAGCUCCAGACUCCGAGGAAACCCAAACAGACUCAUUCCAAGAGAUACGACCUACCCUUUUCUUUCUUUACUGCAAGGGUUGUUGUGUCCAGAUCCUCUCAUGAGCAGGGGUAGCCACAACACACCAAAUUAAGA